GACGAACGCUGGCGGCGUGCUUAACACAUGCAAGUCGAACGGAAAGGCCCUGCUUUUGUGGGGUGCUCGAGUGGCGAACGGGUGAGUAACACGUGAGUAACCUGCCCUUGACUUUGGGAUAACUUCAGGAAACUGGGGCUAAUACCGGAUAGGAGCUCCUGCUGCAUGGUGGGGGUUGGAAAGUUUCGGCGGUUGGGGAUGGACUCGCGGCUUAUCAGCUUGUUGGUGGGGUAGUGGCUUACCAAGGCUUUGACGGGUAGCCGGCCUGAGAGGGUGACCGGCCACAUUGGGACUGAGAUACGGCCCAGACUCCUACGGGAGGCAGCAGUGGGGAAUAUGGAACAAUGGGCGGAAGCCUGAUGCAGAAACGCCGCGUGCGGGAUGACGGCCUUCGGGUUGUAAACCGCUUUCGCCUGUGACGAAGCGUGAGUGACGGUAAUGGGUAAAGAAGCACCGGCUAACUACGUG
rnacentral:rRNA from 1 species